AGAGUUUGAUCCUGGCUCAGAAUCAACGCUGGCGGCGCGCUUAACACAUGCAAGUCGAACGAGAAAGUCCGCAAGGACGAGUAAAGUGGCGCACGGGUGAGUAACACGUGGGUAAUCUACCUUCUGGUGGGGAAUAACCCUGGGAAACCGGGGCUAAUACCGCAUAAGCCUGGAAAGGGAAAGGAGCAAUUCGCCGGGAGAGGAGCCCGCGGCCGAUUAGCUAGUUGGUAGGGUAAAAGCCUACCAAGGCCGAGAUCGGUAGCCGGCCUGAGAGGGCACACGGCCACACUGGCACUGAAACACGGGCCAGACUCCUACGGGAGGCAGCAGUGGGGAAUCUUGCACAAUGGGGGAAACCCUGAUGCAGCGACGCCGCGUGAGCGAUGAAGCCCUUCGGGGUGUAAAGCUCUUUCGGCAGGGACGAUGAUGACGGUACCUGAAGAAGAAGCUGCGGCUAACUACGUGCCAGCAGCCGCGGUAAUACGUAGGCAGCGAGCGUUGUUCGGAGUUACUGGGCGUAAAGCGUGCGUAGGCGGUGUUCCAAGUCUGGUGUGAAAUCUCCCGGCUUAACCGGGAGGGUGCGCUAGAAACUGGGACGCUGGAGUGUGGGAGAGGCAAGCGGAAUUCCUGGUGUAGCGGUGAAGUGCGUAGAUAUCAGGAGGAACACCUGCGGUGUAGACGGCUUGCUGGACCAUGACUGACGCUGAGGCACGAAAGCGUGGGGAGCAAACAGGAUUAGAUACCCUGGUAGUCCACGCCCUAAACGAUGCAUACUUGGUGUGGGCAGUUCAGUCUGUCCG
rnacentral:rRNA from 1 species